rnacentral:rRNA from 1 species
UACGGAGGGUGCGAGCGUUGUCCGGAAUCACUGGGCGUAAAGGGCGCGUAGGCGGCCUGGUAAGUAGGGGGUGAAAUCCUGCGGCUUAACCGCAGGGCUGCCUUCUAAACUGUCAGGCUCGAGCGCGGUAGAGGCAGAUGGAAUUCCCGGUGUAGCGGUGGAAUGCGUAGAGAUCGGGAAGAACAUCAGUGGCGAAGGCGGUCUGCUGGGCCGUUGCUGACGCUGAGGCGCGACAGCGUGGGGAGCAAACAGG